rnacentral:lncRNA from 1 species
UCCAUUACUGCACCGCCUUAUCCACGCCCCCUAAACAUAGAUUAUCAAAAACCAAACUCAUCAACCCUCCGAAUUGGUCUAAUCCACCACCAAUCUGAAAAAAUAUUAUCUAAAAGAAAAAAAAAGAAGUAUGAAACAGUGAGAAUAUUUGUAAGAGAAAGACAAUGCAGUUAAUGUACACAAGAUAUAUUAUUAUUCGCUUUAUAUACAUGUUAUAGGUUGUAUAUGCCCUACAUGUAUACGUUAUACAUUAUAUAUACACUUAUGUAUACAAAUUAUACAAGCACUAAUGUAUGUGUGUUACAUAUAGUGUAGUUACAUUUUUCUAACGAUACAUAUACACUUUAUAUACUUAAUUGUGAGUACCCAUUGUAAUCUUUCACGCUCAUUUUCUAUAUAAUUUGUGUAUAACAAAUGUAUAGUUAAUAUAUAUUCAGCUUGUACUGUAUACACAUUAAUCAUGCAACUAUUAUACAUUAAUUACAACAAUGUAUAUAAAAGGAGGAGCACUAAAAAUUGACAUACACAUUUAGCCGAAAAAAUAUCUUCUCCGGUAGUGACCAUUACUUUCCCCCAUCUCAUCUCCUCUUAUAUAAAGAAUUAUUCAAUGUCAUAUCUAAAAAUGGACGACAAGCAAAAUAUCAUCUACCGCCAAUGUACUUUGAUAACAAAUUAUUAUCUAGAAAAGAUAAAUACUUUAGCAUCUAAGAGAAAAAAUGAAGAGAGAGAGAAAAAAAAAGGUGAGGAAAAAGAAGGCGGGUGUAUUGGUGCUUGCUAUAAUAGAAGAGAAGAAUAAUAGGAUGAAGUCUGCAUGAUGAUCCCAAGUGGGUGGAAGAAGUGAGAAUAUGAGCAAAGAAGGAGAAGCAUGGGAGAUAGAGAGAAAGGAAAACGAAAGAGGGGAGCAAGGGCGUGAUUUUAAGGAUUGACUAUAACUUUUGAAUAAAUUGAACUUAAAAGUGUAUUUCGGGUCAAGUGCUAUAAUGUUGGAUCAUUAAGGACCUAUGUGGCUAAAAAAGUUAUUCAUUUUUUCUGAUUUUUUUUCCAC